rnacentral:lncRNA from 1 species
AUGGGACAAGAAAACAACACAGCAGACGUGGAGUCGCUCCAAAAAAGUGGCCGCCGGAGUGGGAGCUGCCUGAACGCGUUUCUUAUCACGUCCAUCAUUGUUCUGUUUGCAUUGGUGGCAGCGCUGGCUGCGUUUGGAGUCAUGGCUGUGAAGAAGCUGCAGUCCAAGCUGGACGUCCCUCGGCGCGUCUCCGAGUCGGAAUUAUUUGAGAAGAUGAGCGGAGCACAACAACCUUCUGUUGCAUUUAAUAUGGAGAAGUUUGCCUACCUGGAAGCAAUGAAAAGCUCCUUGAAGAAUGGCACCAUGGAGUGGGCUGAUGUCAAGUAUGGAGUUGGAUCCUCUAUAGGAAGCAAGUUUGUCUUUGACUCGCAUCAGAUGUCCUUGAAGCCACAGCAGUCGGGGGUCUACUUCAUGUACGUUGAGGUGAAGAUCACGUGCACCUCCCGCUGCAACACAAGUGUUGUCCACCUGAACGUGAGCAACAAGCUGACCUGCGAUGUGGAGCUGCCUUCACACAAAAAAUCGGUGAGCAAGAAGUGCUGGACAGUGAGCACGUUGGAAAACGAAGGACUGAUCACCCAAAUGAGGGUGCCAGAUAAGGGAUUUCAGGACUGGAAACUGGACCUGAAGAACUCUGGACUGGGGUUGUUCCUAAUAGACUAA